AGGGCGAUAUGGUCAACCUGAAGAAGUCGCAGGACUGGUGGAAUUCUUAGCGCUCAAUCCCGCUGCCAGUUACAUUACUGGACAGGUAUUGACCAUUGAUGGAGGGAUGGUGAUGUGAGAGGCCAAGUCCCGCACCCCAACCAGCUUC